rnacentral:rRNA from 1 species
CUGCGGAGGAUCAUUACCGAGUGCUGGGCCCUCUGGGUCCAACCUCCCACCCGUGUCUAUUGUACCUUGUUGCUUCGGCGGGCCCGCCGUUUUCGAACGGCCGCCGGGGAGGCCUCGCGCCCCCGGGCCCGCGCCCGCCGAAGACCCCAACAUGAACGCUGUUCUGAAAGUAUGCAGUCUGAGUUUGAUUAUCAUAAUCAGUUAAAACUUUCAACAACGGAUCUCUUGGUUCCGGCAUCGAUGAAGAACGCAGCGAAAUGCGAUAAGUAAUGUGAAUUGCAGAAUUCAGUGAAUCAUCGAGUCUUUGAACGCACAUUGCGCCCCCUGGUAUUCCGGGGGGCAUGCCUGUCCGAGCGUCAUUGCUGCCCUCAAGCACGGCUUGUGUGUUGGGCCCCCGUCCCCGGUUCUCCCCGGGGACGGGCCCGAAAGGCAGCGGCGGCACCGCGUCCGAUCCUCGAGCGUAUGGGGCUUUGUCACCCGCUCUGUAGGCCCGGCCGGCGCCAGCCGACACCCCAACUUUAUUUUUCUAAGGUUGACCUCGGAUCAGGUAGGGAUACCCGCUGAACUUAAGCAUAUCAAUAAGCGGAGGAAAAGAAACCAACAGGGAUUGCCUCAGUAACGGCGAGUGAAGCGGCAAGAGCUCAAAUUUGAAAGCUGGCCCCCUCGGGGUCCGCGUUGUAAUUUGCAGAGGAUGCUUCGGGUGCAGCCCCCGUCUAAGUGCCCUGGAACGGGCCGUCAUAGAGGGUGAGAAUCC